rnacentral:tRNA from 1 species
GCUUUCGUGGUGUAGUGGUCAGCACACUCGUCGCGUAACUGAGAGUUUCGUGGUUCGAUUCCCGGCGAAGGCG